rnacentral:rRNA from 1 species
UACGAAGGGGCUAGCGUGCUCGGAAUUACUGGGCGUAAAGCGCGCGCAGGCGGUUCUUCAAGUCAGUGGUGAAAGCCCGGAGCUCAACUCCGGAACUGCCAUUGAAACUGUAGAACUUGAGGAUGAGAGAGGUGAGUGGAACUGCAAGUGUAGAGGUGAAAUUCGUAGAUAUUCGCAAGAACACCAGUGGCGAAGGCGGCUCACUGGCCCGGUACUGACGCUGAGGUGCGAAAGCGUGGGGAGCGAACAGG